rnacentral:lncRNA from 1 species
UCGAACUUGUUUGUGUUAGUUUUUCCCCUAAAAGGCGGCAUGAGAAUUCUGUCCUCUUACCUUCCAGGGGAUUUGUUCAACAUAUGAAAGCCAUUUAACUGACUUUAAUCCAUUCCUAAGUUAGCAAGAUCACAGUCGGCAGCCUGAUUAUACAAGUGGAUAGUGGCCAAUAGAAGUUACUACUAUCUACAGGGAGGAGAGAGCAAUAUGGGAAAUUCCAUUUGAUUAAGCAAAAAAAGAGGGUGAUUAUUUUGUAAGUCUCCUCUCAUUACUUAUAGAUCGAUAAAGCUCUUAAUCUUAGAACUAUUUCACGUUACCAUAAAACCUUUUUUGAAUUACAUAUGUGAUAUAGAUUGAAUGGAACACGACCAACCGUUACAUCUUUCUCAAACUAGUUUAAUAGUUGUUGAAGUUGUUCAUGGAAUUUUUAUGUUGGAUGAACAAUAAUGUCACGGCCCGACCAGAGGCCCUGUCCGCGACGGGCAUCUCGAACCACAACCCGCUAGUGAUAUUAUCUGCUCUGGGCCUAGGCCCGCACGGCUUUAAAGUAAGGUUUUCUCACUUAUAUACCCAGCAUCCCUCUUGUGUUUUGCCGAUGUGGAACUCCUUGUAUUACAAAUAAUUUUUGAUUGAGGAGGGAUUUCAUCAAGGCAUAGUGGUUAAAUUAUCCAUGGGAUCAUUAGAUUUGCCAAUUUUAAGAUCAAUUUUGCCUAAGUUCCUCUGCGUUAAGGGAUAUUGUCCCGUCAUGUUGCUAGUUCAAUAUGAUGAUUUUGUAGCUACAUUAUCAAGAGCAAUGAAUUAUUUCAGGCAAAGAUAUUCAAACUAGGGUUUUCCCCUAGAUAAACUGAGGAAACUUCACGUGCAGCAGUAUUGAUCUCGUUUCCAAAACUUCUGGACGAAUGUUUUUGCUAAGAGGUCUUAGCUUUCCAUUGCUUCGGCAGUAGGAAAACUUACGGUUGUGGACAAGUGAGGUCUAGUCCUAGCAUGACUAGGGAUGGGGGUGUCCUCGACGUACAAAACAAGCAUCCCGAUCUUAUUCAACUUUAAGCUAUGGACUUUUUACAGGCAUAAUCAUUGAGGAGUUUCGGGAGGUAGUGUUAUAUAAAAUUCCUCAACACUGCACCCAUUUUAAGUAUCAAAUUCAUAAUGAAAAGAAGUGCCUAUGUUAAGUGGAAAAAUGUGGUGGUUCAAAAAAGAAGAUGAUAUGGUGGUAAAGAUUGAGGAUGCUUCGGUUGAGAAAUUGCUGGAAGAAGCAACAACAAAAGAGAGACAACAUGACAGAGAUUCCAAUAGGUCGAGCAUUGGCAGGGUGUCAGAGAACCUAGCUAAAAGCUCACAGGCUGGAACAAGAUUUUGUUCUAGAUGUGUCCUAAUCUGAAUGGGAAUGAGGGUAGUCUAUCGGGUAAUAAUAAGAGGAAGUCCAUUCUAUUAGUGGCAAUAAAAAUCAGGUGGUUAUGGUUUGGCUGGCUUACGCAAACAAUCUGUUAGUCCUCGAAUUGGCAAAAAAAAUUAAUGUGACAACUGAACAAGGCUGAUACAAACCUUAGGAGAACUACACCCAAAAGCUAGCUAUUAAGAUGGGAGAGCCCAAGGCUAUAUAAGCCCCGCAUCAACUUCCCAUUUAACCGAUGUGGACUCAAGUCCCACACCUUGUAAUAGGAUCAUAUCAAACCACCACACUCCGCAUCUGUCGUUCUCGACGGCUUCACUCUAGGUAGCUUUUGUUAUAUUCCGAAUACGAAAUCUGUAUAUUACAAUAUAAACUUGGCGAAAUGGUCUCUUGGACAAUAGUACUUGUCCUGAUUUGUAAAAUAUACACUUCUACUUACACUUUUGUCAUCUGGACCUUUUAACCCACCAAAACAAAGUAUUUUAACACUUUUACCUAUCAAAACAUAAUAUUUUACACUCAUUUUUCAUCCAAUUAAUAUGAACGUAAUACACUCAUUUACAUGUGGCAUGCCACAUCAUUUUAAAUGACACAUAGAAAAUAAAUAUUCAAAAUAUAUAUAAAAUAUAAAUAAUACUUUAUAAAAAAAAAUACUCCCCCACCCCCGCCCCCCUCAUUCUUGUCUUCUUCCUACCAUCAUCAAUCCAACAAUGGAGAAUUCAAUUUAUCCAUAUUUCCUCAUAAAAAGAGCACAAAGUUCAUGCCAAGUAAGUAGAAUUUUUUUUCUAAUUUGACUUAGAAAUUUCAAUUAUAUGUUCAUAAAUACAAACUCCAAUAAAUUACAAUUAUAAUUUUGGAUUGAUUUCACAAAUUCACAAGACUCAUUUCCUAUUCUUCAAGGUUAUUUAAGCUUAUUAAUGAAGUUAUUCAAUACCCACCAUUAUACCCAUAUUCAUACUUCCUCUUUGAAUCCAACUAACACAAACAAUGAUUUGAACUUUUUCAAAAUUUAAAAUAUUAAAAAUUUAGAUAAAGAGGAGUACAUUUGGAUUAUUGAAAACAAAAUAAUUUUAUGAUUCUUCUUUUUGGAUUUUCGGUCAUCAAUUAAAGAGGAAGGGAGAGAGAAUUAGGGUGAAGAAGAUGAAGUAGAGAAGAAAGGAAGAGAGAGUUCGGGUUAGUGGGGUGAAGAAGAUCAAAUAGAUUUNNNNNNNNNNNNNNNNNNNNNNNNNNNNNNNNNNNNNNNNNNNNNNNNNNNNNNNNNNNNNNNNNNCAAUGAAGAAGAAAAGUUUUUUUUUAAUGUACACAAUUUUAUAAAAAAAAUUAUAGGCAAAUUUUUUGACACCACCACAAUGCGUUUUUCAAAAUCAUCAACUUAAUGUCACAUAUGCAAAAAUGGGUUUAAAAUAUUCACUUUUAAUAGGUUAAAGGAUCCAGAUGACAAAAGUGUAUGUAGAAGUGUCUACUUUACAAACCAGCACAAGUACAAGGGUCCAUCGAGCCAUUUCGCCUAUAAACUUCAACACUAAAUUUAAGAACUACAAUGAAGUUCCGACAAAUUCAUACACAAGUUCAAAUCAACUAUCAAAAUGAAGUUUGUCUCAACUUUAAGAAUUGAAGGUGAAAUGGAAAAAGAUAGAAUCAAGUCCACCGAAUUCACGGUGUAUCCUUAAGAAAUUUAUUCCCCUCAAGUACCCGAGGUUAAUUGAAUCUUUCUUCCCAGGAUAAAAUGAUUCCCUUCAGAAGAUAACGGUACCUCAAAUUUGUUGAAAUUUUGAACUCACUCAAUGAUUUAAUGAUCACACGAGAGUUUUUAGAACAAAAAAUAGAUGUUUUUUAACUCAAAAACGUACAUUUACCUGAAGAAAAGUUCAGGUAUUUAUUGCCAAAAGGUGUUGCUUCGGAAGGAAAGCAAUAGUUCACAAAAAGAGAACUUUCUGAAAUGUCAUUCCACCUACGCCUGGUCUGCAUUGGACCUACGGCCGCAGGUGAUAUUUUGCACAUUAUAGUGAGGUCUGCGCUACACCUGCGCCUGCAGGUCACAAGGUGCACACGCAAAUGACUUUUUCACCCGAAACAAUGUGUUUCUUGCAUCGAAGGAUCACAUCCCUUCGAGGUGCGUUGUGAUUGCGUUCGCACUGUGUCCGCAAAUGGAGAAAAAUAUUUCUAUUUGAUUUUUGGAGUAAAACUUCUCUUAUUUAAGUUUCAAAUAAAGUUUAUCCAAAAAAUUAAUCUCUCGAUCAUUUGAAAAAUUCAAAUUUAAAGUCGAAUCCCAUUGUGAAUCCAAAAUCGGCGAAGCCGAAGUCGAGCGAGCGACGACGACGACACGAGGCAUCUCUUGUUCUUGUCUCACCAUCCACACGAAAGAAUGCUUCUCAAUAUAAGCAUAAGAAAAUUUCUUUCUCCCACUAAUGUGAGAGAACUUUACUUCUUUAAAUUGAUAGUGCAGUUCACUUUUCCCUACUGUUCCCUUCAUUUUCUAUUCACAUAUUCACUUAGAAACAAACAAUCCCCUAUACGUGAAUGGAGAAUGACUGUCUUAUAAAAAAAUUUACGAACAAGUGUGUGAUCAACAAGUAAAGACUAAUUGCAUCUGAAUAAGUAGGUUUUUCUUUGAACUUUUCGUAGUGAAAUUGCAUCGAAAGCACUUGGUCAAUCGGUAGGUGUGAUAUCUUUGUACUGUUGAACUUUAAUGUACACCUAGACAACAUAAGUCAUACAACCAGCCUUUUACCGUUUAUGAUUCUCACAAUUUUAUUCGUUUCAGCCAUGAACACGACGUGGUUUCAUUAAAAUUUAGAGAAUAGGCCGUUACUAUCAUUCUCCUUAAAGCGGCUUCCACUUCACCCCUACAUAGGUGAUUUUUAAACGUUUAAUCCUUUAAAUCAAACUAUUUGGUCAAACCUACCAAACUUAGAAAUCAUCAAAAUGCUUUAAACCAUAAGUCUUAUCCUUGUUUUCUGAACAUUGUCUUCAUCAUGAGAAUGAGUUCAGUAUAUUGACAAUGUGGAACUAUCAGUCACAACUUUGUUUGAUCUCCUUGAACUUAGAUCUUGGAAUCUCUAUUCUGCUAGGUAGAGUUACUGCCACGAUGAAUUGUCCUAGGCCUUAAACCUAUAUUCUUCGAUCAUCUCUCAACUCUCUCUCUAAAUAGACUUUUUGUAAGUGGAUCCGACACAGUAUCCUUUGACUUCACAUAGUCAAUCGUGAUAAUUCUACUAGAGAGUAGUUCUCUAAAGGUAUUAUAUCUCCACCUUAUAUGGCGAGAUUUACUAUUGUGAAUCAUGCUCCGUGCCCUAUCUAUUACCAUUUGACUAUCAUAAUGUAUACAUACAGGAACCAAAUGUUUGGGCCAAUAAGAAAUAUCUUCCAAAAACUUUCGGAGUCAUUCAGCUUCUUCAUCAACUUUAUCUAACGCGAUAAAUUCAGAUUUCACUGUAGAGUGGGCAAUACAUGUCUGUUUGAAUGAUUUUCAAGAGAUUGCUUCUCAUCCUAAAGUAAAUACACAUCCACUGAUAGAUUUUACUUUAUUCGAUCCGGUGAUUCAAUUUGCAUUACUAUAUCCUUCGAUUAUCGUUGGAUAUUUGUUAUAAUGCAAAGCAUAGUCUUGAAUGUAUUUUAGAUAACCCCAAAACUCUUUCCAUUGCCAUCCAAUGAGUUUGACUAAGAUUACUCGUGUACAGACUCAAUUUACUAAUAGCACAUGUUGUGUCUGGUCGCAUAUAAUUCAUUAUAUACAACAAACUUCUCGACACUCUUGUGUAGUCCAACUGUAAGUCAUUUUCACCUUCAUUCUCUUAAAGUGCAAAGCUCACGUCUAAUGGAGUCUUGGCAAUAUUGAAGUCCAAAUACUUGAACUUGUCAAGUACUUUUUCAAUGUAAUGAGACUGUUGUCAACCUUUGUGAAGUUCUAUGAAUUCUUAUCUCUAAGAUCACAUCAGCAACUUUGAGGUUUUUUGUAUCAAACUUGCUCUCAAGUAUUUAUUUGAUUGCACUUAUAUCAGAAAUGUAUCUACUUAUGAUCAACAAAUCAUCUACAUACAAACAAAGAAUGACUUUGUGAUUUGGAGUGUCAUUAAUGUAAACACAUUUAUCACAUUCAUUUAUCUUGAAAUCAUUUGUCAACAUGGUUUGAUCAAACUUUGCAUGCCACUGUUUGAGUGCUUGUUUUAGUACGUAAACUGACUUAACAAGUUUGCACACUUUCUUUUCUUUACCAUGAAGCACAAAACCCUCAGGUUGUUCUAUGUAAAUUUCUUCAUUCAAUUCUCCAUUUAAGAAUAUCAUUUUCACAUCCAUUUGAUGGAUUUCAAGAUCAUAUAACGCCGCUAAUGCAACCAACAUCUGAAUGAGCAUUAUCCUUAUUACAGACGAGUAUGUAUCAAAAUAAUCAAGACAUUAUUUUGGUAUAAAGCCUUUCACAACAAGUCUGUCUUGUAUUUGUCAAUAGUACCAUCAACUUUCAUUAUCCUAGAGGAAGAUCAACCAACUUCUAAGUGUGGUUGCUCAAGAUUGAAUCAAUCUCAUUAUUGACUGCCUCAUUUCAAAAGGAUGAGUCCGAAGAUGACAUCGCAUCUUUAAACGUCUAAGGCUCAUUUUUAAGAAGAAAUAUUAUAAAAUUUGAUCCAAAGGGUUGACAUUCUUUGACUUGUACUACGUCUUGGAUUCUCAUAAUUAAGUACAUUCUUGUUUGGUUCAUUUCGAAGUGGUUUAGAACCUUCACAGGACUGCUCAUGUACAGUUUUAUAUGAAUAAAUGUGUUCAAAGAACGCAGUAUUAUCUAAUUCAAAUAUCGCGGUUUCAAUGAUAUCCGGAUGUUUGGAUUUAUGAACCAAAAAUCGACAUACUUUACUACUUUUAGCAUAUCCGAUGAACACAAACUCCACAGUCUUAGAUCUUGUUUUUACCCUUUUAGGCAUAGAAACUUGCACUUUUGUUAGACUCUCCCACACUUUAAAAUAUUUUAAGUUAGGUUUCCUUCCUUUUCAUUUUUCAUAAGAAAUAAAAUGAGUCUUACUAUGGGGCAUUCUAUUGAGUAUUUGAUUUGUUGUAAGGAUAGCUUCCCCCCCCCCCUCCCCCCGCCCCCAAGUUUUGCGGCAAACUUGAAUUAUGAGUGAGGCAUUCAUUAUUUCCUUUAAUGUUUGAUUUUUCUUUUUUACAAUUCCAAUUGAUUGAGUGAAUACGGGGCAGUAAUUUGAUGGACAAUUUCAUUUUUUAAAUAUAUCUCUGCAAAAGGAAAUUCAUACCCUCCACCCCCUAUCACUUCCUAUAGUUUUGAUCUUUUUAUCCAGUUGAUUUUUAACUUCUGUUUAUAUUGCCUAAAUGCGUCUAUUGCUUCACCCGUACAAUUUAGCAAAUAAACAUAAUUAUAUCUUAUGUAAUCGUCAAUAAAAGUUAUAAAAUACUUUUUUCCACCAUGAGAUGAUGUUGACUUCAUAUCAUAAAUGUUUGUAUGAAUUAAGUCUAAGGUAUUGGAAUUUCUUUCAACAGGCUUAUACAGAUGCUUAGCAUACUUUGAUUCCACACAUUUUUGACACUUUGAUUUAUUGCACUCUAGGUUAGGUAAAAAAUUUAAAUUAAUCCGAUUUCACAAGGUUUGUAAUUGAUAUUUCCUAAACGUUCAUGCCACAAUUCAUUUGACUCAAGUACAUAAGAAGAAAUAGAACUUUUAUUGAUUUCAACAGUCAUUACAUAGAUCUUAAAAAGGCAUUCUGUGAGGUAACCUUUACCUACAUACACUUUUCCUUUAGUAAUUACAACUUUAUCAGAAACAAAUACACAUUAAAAUCUAUCUUUGGUCAGAAGUGAAGUAACCAAGUUCUUUCUCAACCCUAGAACAUGAAGGACAAUGUUCAGUGUCACCACUUUGCCUGAUGUCAUCUUUAAAUAAACUCUUCCCGUUCCUUCAACUUUUGUUGUUGCGGACUUACCCGUAAAAAGUAGCAUACGAUGCAAAUAACUCUUUGUUGGCACAUACGUGGCAGGUGGCACCAGAAUCAAUCCACUACUUUUUAGGAUUAUCAACUAAAUUACAUUCUUAAAGCAUAGCGUAUAGAUCAUCCACUUCAUCUUUGGAUUCAGCCAUGUUAGCUUGAUCCUUCUUCUUGUCUUUCUCAAGGGCCCGACAACCUGUCGACAUGUAGCCAACCUUGCCACAAUUAACAUAACUUUUUUUGAAUUUCUUAUUCGAAGGAUUGCUUUGUUGUCCAGACAAUUUCUUUCAUUUCUUUGAUCUGUUAGGGUCAUCCUCCACAAUAUUUGCUCCACUAAUUAUAGAAUUUCCUUUUGACCUCUUCUCGGUUGCUUUGUUUAUCUUCUUUAAUACGUAACUCACUAUGAGGUCUUCAACUGACAUCUCCUUUUUGUUAUGCUUCAAGUAGUUUUUGAAGUCUUUUUACAAAGGUGGUAACUUCUCUAUUAUAGCCGCUACUUGAAAAGCCUCAUUCACAAUCAAACCUACAUCAACGAUUAAUUGAUUAUAAAAAACAAACUUAAUAUAUUCAAUCAAGGUAUUUACUAUGUUCAUACCUUCCGCUAGGAGAUCAUGGAUGAUUACUUGCAGUUCUUGAACUUGAGAGACGAUAGUCUUAUUGUCUAUCAUCUUAAAGUCAAGAAAUCUUACAACAAUGAUUUUUUCAUUCCAGAAUCCCCAGUUUUAUAUUCCUUUUCCAAAGCACCCACAAUUCUUUCGAGAUUUUCAUACUGUUGUACACAUUGUACAAAUCAUCUUGAAGGCCACUUAAUAUAUAGUUCUUACAUAAGAAAUUCAAGUGUUUUCAAGCCUCUAUUACAAUAAAUCAUUCCUUGUCCGGUGUUUCUUCGCCAAUUUUGGGGCGUUUUUAGAGAUGAAUCUUUGAAGACUUAAAGUAGUCAAGUAAAAGAAUAUCUUUUGUUGUCAACAUUUAAAAUCUACACUUGAAAUUUUUUUGAAUUUUUCCGUUGCUGCCAUAGCUGGUGCAACACUUGAACGGUUUGAAAAUAGCAAUAGUUGUUGCUGCAACACUUGUCAUUCCAUCAUUGGCAUGGAGAUAUUCAACAGAUAUUUUUGUUCUCAUAAACAGACAGCCAAUUUAGUAUGUCAGAAUACUAACUAUAAAGUUCUAAAAACUUCAACACCAACUUGUUUCUAGUUUAAAAAUGAAGUUUUUAUGUUCUUUUAAUCGUAAACUGAAUAAAUUUUAACUCAUGAUGAAGUUUUUAUAUCUUCAAAUAACUAGUACGUUCAAACAAAUCCAAAAUAAAGAUUAUAACAUAAAUUACUUAAGAUGGUUAUUUUGCGGAUAUAAAAUCUGUAUAUUUCAAUAUGAACUUCAACACUAAGUUCAAGAUUAACUUCAAGAAUAAAAAUAAAGUUCUAACAACUUCAAACACAAGUUCAAAUGAAUAAUCAAAUAAACAAUUAAAAUGAAGUUCAUAUCAACUUAAAGAAAUUAAGAUGAAGCAGAAAAGCAUAUAGAAUCAAGUCCACCAAAUUCACGGUGUCCUUAAGAAAUUUAUUUUCCUCAAGUACCAGAGGUUAAUGGAAUCUUUCCUUCUUGGAUAAAAUAAUUUACUUCAAAAAAUAGUGGUACCUGAAAUUUUCUGAAACUUCGGACUCAUUCAACGAUUAGAUGAUCACAUGAGAGUUUUUAGAAGAAAAAAAUAUUUUUAAUUCAACUCAAAAAUUGUACCUUUGCCUGAGGAAAAGUUCAGGUAUUUAUAAUCAUAAAGUGUCCCUUCAGAAAGGAAGUAAUGGUUCUCGAACAGAGAUAACUUUUCUAAAAUGUCAUGGCACUUACGCUGGACCUGCGACUGCAGGUGACGUUUUGCACAUUCCAGUGAGGUUUACGCUACACCUGCACCCGCAGGUCACCAGGUGUGCGCGCACGUCAAUUUUUCGCCUGAAACAGCGUGUCUCUUGCCUCGAAGGUUCACAUCCCUUUGAGGUGCAUUGUGAUUGCGUUCGAAAUGUGUCCGCAAAUGGAGAAAAUUACGUCUAUUGAAUUUUUGGAUUAAAACUUCACGUACUUUCAAGUUUUGAAUAAAUCUUAUCAAAAAAUUAAUCUAUCGAUUAUUUGAGAAAUCCAAAUUUGAAUCUGAAGUCGAGCCAAGCGAGCGAUGACAGCAUCACGAGGUAUCUCUUGUUCUUGUCUCACUAUCCACGUGAAGAAAUGUUUCUCAAUAUAAGCACAAGAAAACUUCUUUCUCCCACCAAUGUGGGAGAACUUCCUUCCUUAAUGUGAAAGUUCGCUUCACUUUUCCUUCCAAUUUUUCCCCUUCAUUUUCCAAUCAUAUAUACACUUAAAACCCAAUAGCUUUCACUCUACUUGAGUAGGUAGAUCUUUCUCAGGUAGCAUUUUUUAGUCACAAUGGCCAUGAAGGAUGAUGGGUGACUAAAAAAAAUUUGAUGAAGCUAUCUGGGAAACAGCCCAAGGCUAGCUAUUAAAGUGGGAGAGCUCAAGCAUAUAAGCCCCAUAUUAGCUUCCCAUUUAAUCGAUGAGGGACUCAAUAGAACCAUAACAGAGGCCUUGCAACAAUGGACAUUGUGUAGCCUGACACUUUUGAAGCUAUUUCAUAUAGAUUGAAGCACCAAUGAUUGAAGCAUGUCUAUUUGCUUCUGUAUCAUCAACAGUUUUCACAAGAAUAAUGUCUCUAAAAACUGCUAAAGAAGUAUGGGAUUAUCUUAAUGAAGAGUAUGCUGGAGAUGAGAGAAUAAAAGGUAUGCAAGUUUUAAACUUAAUUAAGGAAUUUGAAUUGCAAAAAAUGAAGGAAUCUGAAACAGUGAAGCAGUAUUCAGAUAAACUUCUUAAUAUUGCAAAUAAAGUGAGGCUACUUGGCUUUAUACUUGCCGACUCAAGAAUUAUUGAGAAGAUUCUGGUAACAGUUCCUGAAAGGUAUGAAGCAACAAUUACGACCUUUGAAAAUAUUAAGGAUUUGUCAAAAAUUAGUUUGACGGAGUUGCUCAAUUCCCUGAAAGCUCAAGAGAAAAGAAGACUCAUGAGACAGGAUGUUACAACAGAAGGGGCUCUAGUCAGUAAGAACCAGGUUGACGAAUUUUCGAAGAAGAAAAAGAAUCAAGCGUUGAGUGAAGGAGAAACAUCAACCAACAACAAAGGUAAGGGAGGAAGUACGAAAAACUUUCCCCCUUGCCAUCACUGUGGAAGAAAAUGCCAUCCACCAUUCAAGUGUUGGAGGAGACCAGAUGCUAAAUGUAAGAAAUCCAAUCAACUUGGACAUGAGGCGGUGAUUUGCAAAAGUAAAGCCCCGCAGCAGGAAGAAAAUGCUCAAGUUGUUGAUCAAGAAAAGGAGGAUCUUUUUUUUGUUGCAACAUGCUUCUCAAGUAAGAUCUCAACAGAUUCUUAAUUAAUUGAUAGUGGGUGCACUAAUCACAUAACUCAUGACAAGAGCCUAUUCAAGGAGUAGAAGCCCACUAAAAUUUUCAAGGUUAGGAUAGGAAAUGGGACCAUCUUCAUGUCAAAGGAAUUGGAACCAUAGCUAUCAAGACUGACACAGGCAUAAAGAAAAUUGCUGAAGUUCUUUAUGUUCCUGAGAUUGAUCAAAACUUGCUAAGUGUAGGACAUCUGAUAGAAAAAGGAUUUAGACUUUUCUUUGAAAAUGAUCACUACCAAAUCAGUAACACUACUGGAAAUGAAAUUUUCAAGGUGAAGAUGAGAGGAAGGAGUUUUUUCUUUAGUCCAACAAAGAAGGAGCAACUUGCUUAUUACAUGAAGGUAGAUGUAACGGAAAUCUGGCACAAGAGACUUGGUCACUGUCAUCUACAAACAUUAUUGUUACUGAAGAAAGAGGAUAUGACAAGAGGACUUUCAACUCUCGUUGAUCACUUACCAAGUUGUCAAGCUUGUCAAUUUGGUAAGCAGAAUAGGAAACCAUUUCCUAAAGCAUCGUGGCGCGCUUCUCCAAGAUUGCAAUUGAUUCACACAGAUGUUGCAGGACCUCAAAGAACACCGUCCUUUAAUGGUAGUCUUUACUAUGUUAUAUUCAUUGAUGACUAUACAAGAUUCUGUUGGAUUUUUUUCAUGAAAUACAAAUCAGAGGUGGCUGGAAUAUUAUGGAAGUUCAAGAAGAUGGUGGAAAAUCAAAGAGGUUGCAGAAUCCAAUCCUUGCGUUCUGAUAAUGGAAAAAGUACUACUCCGUACACUCUGCAACAAAAUGGAGUUAGUGAAAGGAAGAACAGGUAUAUAAUGGAGAUGACGCGGUGCAUGUUGCAUGAAAAAGAGUUGCCAAAAAGGUUUUGGGCUGAGGCAGCUAAUACAGCAGUAUUUCUCCAAAUCGGCUUCCCAGUAAAGCGUUGGAGAGUAAAACUCCAUUUGAGGCUUGGAAUGGAUUCAAACCAUCUCUAACCUUCAUUAAAGUAAUGGUUGUGUUUGUCUCUUUCAUGUGCCGCAGGUUAAAAGAGACAAACUUGAUAAAAGGGCCACCCCGGGAAUCUUUGUGGGUUAUAGCUCAUCCUCCAAAGCCUACAAAAUUUAUGAUCCACAAACAGGGAAGAUGAUUAUUAGUCGAGAUGUGCACUUCAAUGAAGAAGAGAAAUGGGAUUGGAAAAAUAAUCAACUUUCAGUCAAAGCUUCGGAGAAGCAAACAUCCGAUCAAUGGUAAAAUGAGUUAGUAGAUGAUCCUCCAGUUAGAGGUACAAGAUUACUUUUUGACAUCUACCAACAAAGUAAUGUGGCAGUUUGUGAGCCUGCAGGGCACAAGAAUGCGCUUCAAGAUGAAAAAUAGAGAAACGCGAUGGAGCAGGAGAUGCUAAUGAUCAAGAAAAACAACACUUGGGAGUUAGUUGACAGACCGAAAGAUAAAAAGGUCAUUGAAGUAAAAUGGGUAUUUAGAACCAAGCUUAAUUUUGACAGUUCUAUCAACAAAUACAAGGCUAGGCUUGUCGUCAAGGGAUAUGCCCAAAUAUUUGGUGUUGAUUACUCGGAUAUCUUUGCUCCAGUAGCCCAACUAGAUACCAUCAGAAUGUUGCUAGCAAUAGCAGCACAAAAGGGUUGGAAAGUGUUCUAACUAGAUGUCAAAUCUGCUUUUCUAAAUGGUGUAUUGCAGGAAGAAAUCUAUGUAGAGCAGCCCGAGGGUUUCAUUGAGCAAGAAAAAGGAGAAAAAGUUAGUCUGCUUAGAAAGGCUCUUUAUGGCUUAAAACAAGCCCUAAGAGCUUGGUAUAGCAGGAUUGAUGAUCACUUGUUGAGUUUGGGGUUUGUCCGAAGUUACUCUUUAUGUCAAACACAAGGGAACUGAUCUACUUAUUGUUUCCCUUUAUGUUGAUGAUCUCUUGGUGACAGGAAACAAUGUGCGGCCGGUUGAAUAGUUUAAGAAGAAAAUGAUGCAAGUCUUUGAAAUGACAGACCUAGAACUAAUGACAUACUUUCUAGGGAUGGAAAUCAAGCAAGGUUGCAAUGAAAUCUUUAUCUGCCAAAAGAAGUAUGCUAGGGAGAUGCUGAAGAAAUUUCCUAUGGAAAAUUGCAAGGCAACAAGCACACCGAUGAAUCCAAAGGAGAGGUUGAGCAAAGAGGAUGGAACUGAUAGAGUUGAUGAAGGAAACUUCAGAAGCUAGAUUGGAUGCUUGAUGUAUCUCAUUGCUACACGACCCGAUAUUCUAUUUGUUGUAAGUCUUUUGUCUAGGUUUAUGCAUUGUGCUACUAAAAUGCAUUUGCAUACAGCAAAAAGAAUUAUAAGUUACAUCAAAGGUACUGUCGAGUAUGGGGUCAAAUUUAAAAAAGUGUGAGAAUUUCAAGUUGUAUGGAUUCUCAGAUAGUGAUUUGGUCGGAUCCCCUAAUGACAUGAAAAGUACAUCAGGAUAUUGCUUCAGUCUGGGAUCGGGCAUUUUCUCUUGGUGUUCCAAGAAGGAGGAAAAUGUGGCACAGUCCACGGCAGAGGCUGAAUUCAUUGCAGCAACAGCAGCAGUAAAUCAAAUCUUAUGGCUGAGAAAAAUAUUUUCUGAUUUGCAUAUGGAACAAAAGGUUAAUACUGAGAUUCAUGUUGAUAAUCAAGCUGCAAUAGCUAUUUCACAUAAUUCAGUGUUUCACGGGAAGACUAAGCACUUCAACAUCAAGCUUUUUUUCUUGAAGGAUGUGCAGAAAAAAGGAUAAGUGAUUCUUAUUUAUUGCAAAUCCGAAGAUCAGCUUGCAGAUGCAUUUACGAAAUCCCUUCCUGUCAACAAGUUUAAGUUCCUAAGGCAACAACUUGGAAUUUACAGCUCCUAAUGCAAGGAGGAGUAUUAUUAGUUGCUUUAGGACUGCAGAAUUUAUUUAUUUUAUUUCCUGUAUUUCUUUUAUAAGUUAUUAGGAGGUAGUUAGCAUGGUUAGGCACCAUGACUUUAAAGUAGAGCCAUUAUCUAUUUCAAUUUUUUUAAAAAAAUACUUUAUAUAACUACUCUUGGACAGAAAGUAAAUCUCUCUGCACAAGUUUCUCUCUCUCUCUGUGAUCUUCUUCAUUCUCCUGCUUCUUUUCUGUAGUAAUCUAGAUUCUUUUCUGUAGUAAUCUAGAUAUCGUUUGCAUAGUGUUAUGUGCGAUUUGUCUAUUUAAAACUAACACAUAUGAACACAUGGGCGUUUGAGAUCCCUACUCAGUUUAUGGAGUCAUUUCAUGUUUGACAUGCUUACUCUAGGCAGCAACUAAUAUACCAGGAUGUGGAUACGAUUAUGGUCUCAACUCAAGCACAUUCAAGCAACAAGUUUUAAACAAGAGCAACCAAAAACGUGGUACAAGUGUGAAGAGUUCGAAGGGCAUGGAGGAUGCUUAUCCCCUCCAACAUAGCAAAUUGAGUACAGUAGCCCUGCAUUUGUGCCACACCAUUUCAUGGCUUACCCAUCUUUAGCCGUAGGGCAACUUAUUGCUCAAAAGAAAUACGCCUUUAAAUGUUAUGUAUAAUCCUACCUAAAAAGAGAUCUAUUAGUAUGAAUAGUGGCCAAGAGAUAUGAUCCAGGAGCUUUAGUGUAAGAUUCAUCGGAAGCUUUUGGUGGUGAUUUUGAUAUAUUUGAUGAUGAAGAAGCGACUGAAAUAUUGGAUGAAUGCUAUUCUAACGCUAGGACGAAAAUUAUCACCUAGGUAGAAAAGGAGAGGAUUGAAGACACAGAAGACUCAUGAAAAAAAAAAUAAUAGUUAGGAUGGUAAAGUAUUUGAGGAGGUUGUUCUAAUGCACCAUCAAUAAGAGCAACAAACAAAAAGAGACAAGGUUCAACUACAUUACUAAGACCCAAUAGAUCCAAGAAGACCUAGAGAUUUCAAAGCGGUUGCAGGAAGAAGAUAAGGUGAAGAAUCAAACUUUUAUCAGGUUACGUCUCCUUAAAGUUUCACAACUUCAAAGAAACCUGCUUGUCUUUUCCUUUGAGUUUCACUUCAUUAUAUAAAUAAAAAACAAGCCUAAAAAACAAGCCAUGGGCAUCUCGCCUAGGGGAUUUGCUUAAACUAACAAAGAGAUAAAGCUCUUAAACUCUUAUGUGCUGAAAGAUCUCCUUCUAAUAAGAGGAAAUUACUCCAAUACAACUAUGUAAAAAGGUAUUUGAAAAAGUUCUAACUAUUUUCAGAAAAACAAAAAAUACAAUUUAUUUAAAUUUAUAAUUUUUAAAGUAUAUUGUGUAUCGCUUUUUAUAUCUCUAAAAUAGCUCUCCUAAUUAAUAUACAAUAAAUAAGGUAAUACUCUCACAAAUAUAUGUGAUCCCAAGAAUUAAUCUCUUCAUCUUAAUUGUAUAUUUCUGAUUUCCCUUUCUAGUAAUCUUCCUAACUCUUCUUUCUUCCACCUAUUUUAUUAUAUAAUAUCCUAGCUAUAUUCUGUAAAAGAAUGUGCAAGAAACAUAUUGAGUAUCCACUAGAAAAAAGAGAUAAAGGAAUGAUACUCUCAGUCCAUUCGGCAAAAAAGACUUAUCAUUUAAAGUCUAUAUUUUUUUAAAACAUUGGAGAAUCAUGUGCAACGAAUUAAAUCCCUCUAGGCACACUGCUAGGAAUUAAAGGUCUAGGUUUUCUUCUGGGAAUCACAUAAAAUACUAUAACCAUGUCAAAAGCUUUAUUAUGUAGUAUUGGUGAAGUAAGCACACUAAUAACUAGAUGUUAAAUCUUACCCUUAAAAAAAGAUUCUAUCCUCAAACGUGUGACCAAGUGAUCGACAACUUCCCUAGGUAGAGUUAUACAUAUGAGUGUUGGGUUCAAGUUGAAUGUGUGAAUGGAAAAAAUAGAGAGAAAUUGAGAUCACACCUAAAAGCAAAGUGUGCUCACAAUAAGGAAAGUUUACUAAUUCUCCCACAUUGGUGUGGGAGAAAGAAACUUUCAUGUGUUCUUAUUAAGAAACACAACUCCAUAUGGAUAGUGAGGCAAGAAACAAAAGGUGUCUCGCGCCAUCAUCGUUGCUUGGCUCGGCAAAUCAAUCGAUGAGAUUAAUUUUUUAGACAAGUGAACAUACCUUUCCGAUGAACCAUUGCUUCCUUUCCGAAGGGCACUUCAUGGCUAAAAUUUUCUGCAUUGAAAAACUUUCUUUUGCUUCUAAAAACUCUGUGUGAUCAUCUAAUGUUGAGUGUAUUCGCUACUGAUUGUGAACCAUUUUAUCCUGUGAGGAAAAUUUUUUUGAUAGUUCUUCUUGAACUUGUGUUGAAGGUGUUAAAAACUUCAUUAUUGUCCUUGAAAAAAGUCUUGAACUUGUGUUGAAGCUUAGUAUAUAAACAUACAGAUUGUGCACUCGAAACAACAAUGACAUCUUCAAUCUCAAGACAACUCUUAUUAUGAGUGUAUUUGGUUAUAGUCCAUUAGAAUUUGCUACAUGAUAAGAGGGAUACAAACCUACACUAACAUAAUCUGUGAUUUUUACCAAUCCUAGGGUGCUCCCUCAUUCAGUGCAAGGCAAUCACCUAAUGAAAAAGACUGGUAUUUGUGAGC